rnacentral:lncRNA from 13 species
AUGCGCUUCUGGUAUUUCCCAGCAAGGCUUAAAUAUAUCCCAAAAAGUUUGGAAAGAGAUCAAGAACUCAAAAAGCUCAUGGAGACAGCAAGAAACACAUUUGGAUCAAAACAAUGGAUGUUACAUUUGCUGAGCUGGAUCCUGUGUUCCCAGGCAGACCAAGUCAUCUUGGCUGCAGCAGACACCUCACAGUACAAACGGAACAUGUAUGAAACUGGGAACCAUCAAUCUCAGCAAACUGACAGAAGAAUAGAAAACCAAACACCACAUGUUCUCACUCAUAAGUGGAUGUUGAACAAUGAGAAAA